CUGAUAAUGUGCAUGGUUAUGCAUAUGUUAGGAGUGUCCACACCUCAUCAAUCUGCGACUGCUCCUAUCAAAUCUGUUUGAGGAAAGGAUUGACAUUAAGUAUGUUUAAAGCCAAUCACAGCUACAAAUAAAAUAGCAGCAGAUUCCAUGAGAGACUCUUGCUAUUUCUGUUUCCAAGACGAAUUUGUGGAUUCAGACAAACAGAAAUGGUAGCAGCAGCUAUGCCUACCUCUCCUUCGGUGCCAUGUUUAUUUUGGUUCCUGUCGGCUCGACGGCUCUUGCUUCUGUAACAGCUAUAUGUCCCAUCUUAAACAACAAUGUGAUAACCGAAGCAAGAGGGGGACUGUCAUGACCCAGCAUGCAGCGCUAAGCAGAUACCUGCCGUCUCUUCUCUCUCCCUUCUCCACAGGUGACUGUGUUUUGCAGGUGGGCGUGGCGACCACCUGUAGUUCAUCCGGCAGUGUUGCUCAGAAGCACUUAAGCGGCGGUGACAGCUGGAGGAUGCUAGAGUGUUAACCUAGUGGGGUUGCCUCACUCCUUGGAUCCCUCUUCAAGCAUUGCUUCAUUCUCUGUUGCCCUUAGACAAGUUUACCUCCGCCUCCUACUGGGAUUCCACUCAGACAUCUCCUUGGUGUUACCAAACCGGGCUGAGGAUCUCUCCAUAACUCCACUGGUUCCUCCAGCUGAAAAAAAAUAAUGCAACCGCUUUUGGCAUUUACUUAAUCAUAUUUAGUUACUUUAACACAACUGUUUUAUGUCCUUCCCUGCUAACAUGGAAUAAUUGUGUUAAAGUAACUAAAUAUGAUUAAGUAAAUGCAAAAAAUGGUUGCAUUUUUUUCAGUGAUCACCUCUCCCACCACCCGUGCUGCUUGGACCCCACUACGCUCCACCAGCUCGCCCAUCAGCUGCUCAGUCACCGCUGCCAUCCCUGGGAGUCUCGUACUGGGUCCAUCUCUCUGCUUGUCUCCCCCCGGUUAGGUCCCCGUGCUCGGCGAUCGAACAAGCCCCGUUCACACGUCCUCCAAGGCACUUCUUUACUGUAAAGAACCCCAUCAACAUCUCCUGUCUGUAUUUCUAUAAAUGCCUUUGACUGUCUUAGCCUCCCGAGUGUGAUCUGAAUUUGGACCAAAUACGUAAAAACCAUAACAGAGACAAAAUGGAUUCUGGUAUUUUUUGUGAACGGACAAA